UCUACACUGCAAAAGUGUACAGCAGCUAUACGUAUGCUGGCAUAUGGUCAAUCAGGAGAUACGUAUGACGAAUAUCUCCGACUAGGUGAAAGUACUGCACUUUUAUGUUUGGACAAUUUCACUAAUGCGAUAAUACAAUUGUUUGGCCAUGAGUAUCUAAGAAGACCUACAACUGAUGAUCUUCAACGACUACUGGAUAUUGGAGAGUUACGCGGGUUCCCAGGAAUGGUAGGCAGCAUCGACUGUAUGCAUUGGGAGUGGAAAAAUUGCCCAACAGCUUGGAGAGGACAGUACACACGUGGUUCAGGAAUGCCGACAAUUAUCUUAGAGGCGGUGGCAUCACAAGAUCUAUGGAUAUGACACGCAUUUUUCGGACUUCCAGGUACCCUCAACGAUAUUAAUGUUCUUGAUCGGUCACCAGUUUUUGAUGACAUUAUACAAGGUCGAGCUCCUAAAGUAAAUUUCAGGGUCAACAACCACAAUUAUCGUAUGGCGUACUAUCUUAGCGACGGAAUUUAUCCGAAAUAGUCAACAUUUAUCCAAUCAAUCUCACUUCCUCAAACUCCAAAAGCACAACUAUUUGCUCAACAUCAAGAAGCCGUAAGAAAAGAUGUCGAACGUGCUUUCGGAGUAUUGCAAGCGAGGUUUGUAAUAGUUAAAAACCCAGCACUACUAUGGGACAAGGAAAAGAUAGGAAGGAUUAUGAGAUGUUGUGUCAUACUGCACAACAUGAUAGUAGAGGACGAACGCGACAGAUUCACUCAGUAUGAUACAGAUGAAUUCGAAUCAGGAGAGUCAAGCAGAAGUUCUCAGGUUGAUGUCGUCUCCUCUACGGAAAGCCUUUCUAAUGUCGGUGAAAUGCGUGGGAUUCGCAAUCAAAUUCGGGAUCAACAGAUACAUCAUCGUUUGAAAGCUGAUUUAGUUGAAAAUAUAUGGCAAAAGUUUGGUAAUCUUGAUGAAUAAUCUUUGUAUGUUUAAGAUUUCUCUAUGUAUUAAAUAACUUUUAACAAAAAAAAAAAUUAUAAAAAAUAAUUUAAAUUUCUAAGAACCCCAUAUUCGGGUUCACCAAUGGAAAAACACAAUCAAUACAGGUUCAUCACUAUUUCUGACCCCAUCACAAAUAUAAUAAAAAAAAUCCAAUGAACCCAAGAGACUGAGAAAGAAGACGGAGAAAGAAGACGGUUUCUGAGCGAAGAUGAAAGGGAAAGGCAUUUAGCACGGCGCCGGAAAAACUACCAACUCCGAAGGCAGAGAGCAGAGAUAAAUCGCAUCGACUGUCAGGUCCAAGCGAUCACCGGAGGUAGCCAAGCAACACUAACCUCACCUCCUGAUUCCGGAACCAGUAAUACUGUCCCGUUGGCAGAGUCUGAUCAAAGUGUGGAUAUACCAAUGGAGAAGUUGGGUCAACUGAUUGGGACAAUACGGCUGAGCCGUGUGAAACAUCUGGUGAGGACACUAAACAAGUCCACUGCUAUGAGUGUAGAGGCAAGUAACAAUGAAACAA